rnacentral:rRNA from 1 species
UACGAGGGGGGCUAGUGUUGUUCGGAAUCACUGGGCGUAAAGGGAGCGUAGGCGGGUGUCUAAGUUGGGUGUUUAAUUCCGGGGCCCAACCCCGGGCGUGCACUCAAACUGGGCAUCUUGAAUAGGGGAGAGGUCGGUGGAAUUGGAGGUGUAGCGGUGGAAUGCGUAGAGAUCUCCAAGAACACCAGUUGCGAAGGCGGCCGACUGGACCCAUAUUGACGCUGAGGCUCGAAGCAUGGGGAGCAAACAGG